UACGUAGGGACCAAGCGUUGUUCGGAUUCAUUGGGCGUAAAGCGCUCGUAGGUGGCUUUGUAAGUCGGAGGUGAAAGCCCACGGCUCAACCGUGGAAACGCCUUCGAAACUGUGGAGCUUGAGGCUGGGAGAGGAGAUCGGAAUUCCUGGUGUAGCGGUGAAAUGCGUAGAUAUCAGGAGGAACACCGGUGGCGAAGGCGGAUCUCUGGACCAGUUCUGACACUGAUGAGCGAAAGCUAGGGGAGCAAACAGG
rnacentral:rRNA from 1 species